AUGCAAACACCCUCCCUCCCCCCAACCAAAAUCCCUCAUCCCCCCAACUUUCCCCAUUCCCUCGUAAGUUCUCCCCAAAUUUCCCCAAUCCUUCAGCUCGUAAGUUCCUAAGUUAGCGUUAAAAAAAAAUAAGAGAACUGGCCAAGCCUUCUUUUCUGCCCAGCCACGCACCCUCCUCCCCUCUCUCGUCGUGCAAAACCUAGUCGCCGGUCACCAGCUUCGAAGCCCACUGUCCGUUGUCAUCUUGCUCCAACCCGUGAAGCUGGGCAUCAGCUCCGCUUUGCCCACCGUCCGUCAUUGGCGUCCGUUGGGUCAUCCUGGAGCUUGUCUCGAAGCCUCAAACCCGUCGCCGUUCGUGUCAUCAUUGUGGAAGCCUCAAAGCUCUCCCUAAAUCUGCGAAUCACCAGCUUCACGGGCCUGGUGUACAAAGCCCUCAAAGCUCUUCGUGUCAGCAUUCACUCACUCCAUUGAGUAUUCCAACAGGAAGACAUGAUGUGAUGAAGAAAAUAUGUUCCAUACAUAUAUGACAUGGGAUGAGUCUUACAAUGACCUUAGUUAUGUAAAUGUAAUAUUUUGAUGUGUUCUGUACUUUUUGAGGUAUUAUAUGUAAUUGGAUAAAUUACACUCUAUUUUGAUUUGUGUUGUUUAGAGUAAAAAUUAAACAUAUCUAUCUUAUAAUGAAACUUUUAUGAUUUAGAUU